GUAACGGAGGGAGGCUAGCGUUGUUCGGAAUUACUGGGCGUAAAGCGCACGUAGGCGGCUUUGUAAGUUAGAGGUGAAAGCCCGGAGCUCAACUCCGGAACUGCCUUUAAGACUGCAUCGCUUGAAUCCAGGAGAGGUGAGUGGAAUUCCGAGUGUAGAGGUGAAAUUCGUAGAUAUUCGGAAGAACACCAGUGGCGAAGGCGGCUCACUGGACUGGUAUUGACGCUGAGGUGCGAAAGCGUGGGGAGCAAACAGG
rnacentral:rRNA from 1 species